rnacentral:lncRNA from 12 species
CCCCCCCCCCCCCCCCCCCCCCCCCCCCCCCCCCCCCCCCCCCCCCCCCCCCCCCCCCCCCCCCCCCCCCCCCCCCAGUGGGGGAUGGAGUUGGAGCAGCGCACGAAGCUCUUCCCACACUCGGGGCACUCGCAGGGCUUCCCUUACCGGUGCCUCCGAUGGUGUUUGGUCAAGGUUGAGCUCUGCCUGAAGCUCUUCCCACACUCCCCACACUCGUAGGGCCUCUCUCCAGUGUGGAUACGCCGGUGGCGGAUGAGGUCGGAGUUUUCCCUGAAGCCCUUCCCGCAGUCGGGGCAGCGGAAGGGCUUCUCGUCUGUGUGCGUGCGCUGGUGCAUGAGGAGAUUGCCUCUGGUGUGAAACCGCUUCCCACACUCCCCACACUUGCAGGGCCUCUCCCCAGUGUGGAUCCUUUGAUGGCUGAUCAAGUUGGAGCUCCGUAUGAAGCUCUUCCCACACUCCUCACACUCGUAGGGCCUCUCCCCAGUGUGGAGGGGGGGGGGGGGGGGGGGGGGGGGGGGGGGGGGGGGGGGGGGGGGGGGGGGGGGGGGGGGGGGGGGGG